rnacentral:rRNA from 1 species
CCUACGGGGGGCAGCAGUGAGGAAUAUUGGUCAAUGGUCGGGAGACUGAACCAGCCAAGCCGCGUGAGGGAGGAAGGUACAGAGUAUCGUAAACCUCUUUUGCCAGGGAACAAAGGCGGGGACGUGUCCCCGGAUGAGUGUACCUGAAGAAAAAGCAUCGGCUAACCCCGUGCCAGCAGCCGCGGUAAUACGGGGGAGGCGAGCUUUAUCCGGAUUUAUUGGGUUUAAAGGGUGGGCAGGCGGUUUGUUAAGUCAGCGGUAAAACCCCGGGGCUCAACCCCGGCCCGCCGUUGAAACUGGCAGUCUCGAGUGGGAGAGAGGUAUGCGGAAUGCGCGGUGUAGCGGUGAAAUGCAUAGAUAUCGCGAAGAACUCCGAUUGCGAAGGCAGCAUGCCGGCUCCACACUGACGCUGAGGCGCGAAAGCGUGGGUAUCGAACAGGAUUAGAUACCCGGGUAGUC